GUUAAAGCACUUUCAGUAGGGAGGAAGGUAGUGUAGUUAACACCUGCAUUAUUUGACGUUACCUACACGAAGAAGCACCGGCUAACUCCGUGCCAGCAGCCGCGGUAAUACGGAGGGUGCGAGCGUUAAUCGGAAUUACUGGGCGUAAAGCGCAUGCAGGCGGCCUGUUAAGUCAGAUGUGAAAGACCCGGGGCGUUAACCUCGGAAUUGCAUUUGAAACUAGGCAGGCUAGAGUCUUGUAGAGGGGGGUAGGAAUUUCAGGUGUAGCGGUGAAAUGCGUAGAGAUCUGAAGGAAUACCAGUGGCGAAGGCGGCCCCCUGGACAAAGACUGACGCUCAGAUGCGAAAAGCGUGGGGAGCAAACAGGAUUAGAUACCCCUGGUAG
rnacentral:rRNA from 1 species